AACGAACGCUGGCGGCAUGCCUAACACAUGCAAGUCGAACGAGACCUUCGGGUCUAGUGGCGCACGGGUGCGUAACGCGUGGGAACCUGCCCUUAGGUUCGGAAUAACUCCCCGAAAGGGGUGCUAAUACCGGAUAAUGUCUUCGGACCAAAGAUUUAUCGCCUUUGGAUGGGCCCGCGUUGGAUUAGCUAGUUGGUAGGGUAAAAGCCUACCAAGGCGACGAUCCAUAGCUGGUCUGAGAGGAUGAUCAGCCACACUGGGACUGAGACACGGCCCAGACUCCUACGGGAGGCAGCAGUGGGGAAUAGUGGACAAUGGGCGAAAGCCUGAUCCAGCAAUGACGCGUGAGUGAUGAAGGCCUUAGGGUUGUAAAGCUCUUUUAACCGGGAUGAUAAUGACAGUACCGGGAGAAUAAGCGCCGGCUAACUCCGUG
rnacentral:rRNA from 1 species